AGAGAGAACCUGUAGUCUGUGAGCCCAAGUUGUCUGGGUACAAGACUGACCCCCUUCAGAGCUGGAGAGAAGACAUCCCAGCAAGUGGACAGGGGCCAUGGAGAGGAACCUGGGAGCUGUGCUGGGGAUUCUGUGGGUGCAGAUUUGCUGGGUGAGAGGAGAUAAUGUCCAGCAGAGUCCUUCAGCCCUGAGUCUCCACGAGGGAAACAAUUCUGUUCUGAGAUGCGAUUUUUCUAAUGCCUUGACAUCAGUGCAGUGGUUCCGACAGGAUCCCCGGGGCAGUCUCAUCCAUCUGUUCUACCUGGCUUCAGGAACAAAGGAGAAUGGGAGGUUAAAGUCAACAUUCGAUUCUAAGGAGCGCUACAGCACCCUGCACAUCAGUGGUGCCCAGCUGGAGGACUCAGGCACCUACUUCUGUGCUGCUGAUGCACAGUGCUCCCAGUGAGCCUGCAGCCUGGCCCCAAACUGCAGCUGGCUGUGGAGCUACAACCCCUGCCACAGGCAGACUCAGCAGGAGGCUUUGCACAGCUGUGGCUUCAUCAGAUCUCCACAAAUUAAAAGAUGUGAGGAAACAUAAAAAUACCACUGUAGUUCCCACUUACAUUCUGACUGACAUGACACUGACUUCUAGAAUGCUAAAUGCUGAGAAAUAUCAGCAUGCAUGAUCAAAAUAUGCCCCUUUAUUUUUUCAGUUUAUGUUAAUGUCAUAGAAUAUAAACCUCUCUUACAUAUUGGAGAAUCAUUUGGGUCAUUUGUUAAAAUUCGAAACUGAAAGCAACUGUUUUCAUCCUUUGUUUAAAGAGCACAAGACAACACUGAGCUAAUCUGCUCAAUAUGACGUUGAUAAAUUAAUUAAUUCAUCUAAUAAAUUAACUGGUAGAAAGGCAAGAGAAAUCUUAUUAUUAGAUCAAGACAUUAUAGAAAUGUCUUGAUAUUUUAAAUAUAUAAUACAUUUAAUUCUGCAGUGGAAAACAAAUAUUUCAUGUCAUAAUUAGGAGCCAAAAGAUAAAAUAAAACUAGGAAGAUGUAUUUGCAAUUUAUGUCACAAUAACACUUGUAGCCAUUGAUUCUACCUUAUAUGCAAAACUUUUCAUUAAAACACUGCUUUCAAAAGAAAAGAGUGUGGAAACAUUCUAAAUAUCAUACAGUAGGGGACUGAUUUAUUAUACAAUAAUUAAAUGUGAACUAGAUAACUCGUUUAUUUUCUGAGGGUUGACUGAUUAUAUACCAUAGUUGAAAACUCUGGCCUGUCCUUGUCUCUGUAGGGAACUGGGAGUCAUCCAUGCAUCAUCUCUCCAUUGUCUUCCCUCAGGAACAGCGGCUGUGUGACUACAACAGCAACUGGAUGGCCUUUCAUUUUCUUUCUAGAGCUUCACAGAUUAACUGAAACCUUGUGAUUCAUUCGGCUUCAUCCCCAUUGUAACUCCACUUCCUUAAAAUAUAUAUUAUCUGGGCUUCUCAGACAAUAAAUAAUCCCUAAGGGUCAAUAAGAUUUGUGUGGGACUGUUAAAAAGUUAUGUCAACAUUCACAUAAGGAUCCAGUCACCUCAGAGAGGUCAAAGAUAGCAGCCAUCCUAACCCUUGCUUCUUCAUUUCAAUUUGUUUAUUUUUGUUUGUUUUUAUUUUGCUUUUGGCCGGGGCGGGGGGAGGGGGGAGGCUACAAGGGAGGAAGAUGGAUACGAAGUGCCCUGGAUAUGAAUGGAAUUGGUUUACAUGAUGUGAAAUGUAGAGAAUGAAUAAUAAUAAUAAAACUCAGAAACAAAAACUAAACUGAAAAAUGGAUUUAAUGAAGAUGCCCGAGGUGAUAAGAGUUAGAGUUAUGCUGUCCAAAAAACAACAACAACAACAACAACAACAACAACAAAAACAAAAACAAAAACAAAAAACAAAAAAACAAAAAGAAAAACCAAACUCAUUCAGAUUUCCAUUGCAGACUUUUCAUAGGUGACUUUUUAGUGCAGGUGACUACUUAUGAGUGAAACCUGCUAUUACAGAGAAAGAGGAAAACAUCUGCUAAGUGUAAACACACAAGCUCACCUAUCCCCCGCACCCCCACCCCGUCCUAACUUUCAUGAGUCCACAAGAUGGCAGUGUUUUCUUUGGGAUCUUGAGCAAAGAUCUCAAG